rnacentral:rRNA from 1 species
GGACGAACGCUGGCGGUGUGCCUCAUACAUGCAAGUCGAACGAUAAGGUCUCUUCGGAGAUACAUAAGUGGCGGACGGGUGAGUACAACAUAGGAAAUCUGCCCUAAAGCGGGGGACAACAGAGGGAAACUUCUGCUAAUACCCCAUAUGAGCUUAGUUGAAAUACUAAUCUUGAAAGAUUUUAUCACUUUUAGGAUGAGCCUGUGCCUGAUUAGCUGGUUGGUGGUGUAAUGGACUACCAAGGCGACGAUCAGUAGCUGGUUUGAGAGGAUGAUCAGCCACAAUGGGACUGAGACACGGCCCAUACUCCUACGGGAGGCAGCAGUAGGGAAUUUUGCGCAAUGGGCGAAAGCCUGAACCGCAGCAACACCGCGUGAAUGUUAAGCCCUUCGGGGUGUAAAGUUCUGUCAGUAGGGAAGAACAAAUGACUGUACCUGCAAAGGAAGCACCGGCUAACUCCGUGCCAGCCGCAGC